UACGUAGGGUGCGAGCGUUGUCCGGAAUUAUUGGGCGUAAAGAGCUUGUAGGCGGUCUGUCGCGUCUGCUGUGAAAAUCCGGGGCUCAACCCCGGACUUGCAGUGGGUACGGGCAGACUAGAGUGUGGUAGGGGAGACUGGAAUUCCUGGUGUAGCGGUGAAAUGCGCAGAUAUCAGGAGGAACACCGAUGGCGAAGGCAGGUCUCUGGACCACAACUGACGCUGAGGCGCGAAAGCUAGGGGAGCAAACAGG
rnacentral:rRNA from 1 species